CGCUUUUACAGUGUCUUGGAAUAUUUUUAUUCUGCACAAUUCUGACUGUUGAGCACAUAUUAAUGCUACAGCAAGAGAGAAGGAAAGAAAACAAAAAGGAUUCAGAGAUUUUACAAUGAACAUUGCAGUGGGCAUACCAUGGAGCCAGACCACCAGCAGAGCAUUAAACAGGGACAGAUGUGAAUGCCAGGAUAAAAAUGAAGACAUUCCUGAAGUGGUGACCCUUGGAAAACACAUUCACAAGGAAGGAAUGGGGAACCAGAGAAAGUCCAUUGCAAAAGCAUCCCUGUGCAGGUGUGGGGAAAGUUCCAGGUCCUACAGAGCUGCUGUUAAUGCUGUUUUCAGCACCAGCAAAAGCUUAAUUUCUCCUCUGUGACCAGUGGGACCAGCUCUGGCUCAGUGGGCAUACGCAGUGUGGCAACAAAACAUUUGACUCUUGGGAAAAGCAAAACCAGUGCCCUCUGAUGCCUUCAUGCAUUUUGAGACUUGGACCUGAGUACAGAUAAUUGUACACUGAUAAAUACUGCCACCAAUGCUCCAAUUGUACUGCUGGUCUUCCCAGUCAUGUUCAACACUGAGGAAAGCCUGAACACUGAAAUGCUUUCUCUCUGCUUGGUGUUGGAAAAACUAGAAUAGAGCAGCAAGAGUGCAGCAGCAUCCCACCACCAGCCACAGUGGACUGGACU